UGCCCCCUACGGGAGGCAGCAGUGGGGAAUAUUGCACAAUGGGGGAAACCCUGAUGCAGCGACGCCGCGUGAGUGAAGAAGUAAUUCGUUAUGUAAAGCUCUAUCAGCAGGGAAGAAAAUGACGGUACCUGAGUAAGAAGCCCCGGCUAACUACGUGCCAGCAGCCGCGGUAAUACGUAGGGGGCAAGCGUUAUCCGGAUUUACUGGGUGUAAAGGGAGCGUAGACGGCCAGACAAGUCAGAAGUGAAAGCCCAGGGCUCAACUCUGGGACUGCUUUUGAAACUGCCGGGCUGGAGUGCAGGAGG
rnacentral:rRNA from 1 species